UUUUUCUGCCACCCAGUGGCGGUCGGCGGGCUAUAGUUCGCUAUAGCCUGUGUCUGAAUCCGUGUCUUUUGCGUACUACAUGUUUCCUCGGCGGGCCUUUCCGCCGGUUGGACCCCUUGUAACCCUCUGCAAUUGUAUUCAGCGUCUGAACAAUUAUAAAUAAAUUACAACUUUCAACAACGGAUCUCUUGGUUCU
rnacentral:misc_RNA from 1 species